rnacentral:rRNA from 2 species
GCAGUCGACGAGCUUCCGUUGAUGACGUGCUUGCACUGAUUUCAACAAUGAAGCGAGUGGCGAACUGGUGAGUAACACGUGGGGAAUCUGCCCAGAAGCAGGGGAUAACACUUGGAAACAGGUGCUAAUACCGUAUAACAACAAAAUCCGCAUGGAUUUUGUUUGAAAGGUGGCUUCGGCUAUCACUUCUGGAUGAUCCCGCGGCGUAUUAGUUAGUUGGUGAGGUAAAGGCCCACCAAGACGAUGAUACGUAGCCGACCUGAGAGGGUAAUCGGCCACAUUGGGACUGAGACACGGCCCAAACUCCUACGGGAGGCAGCAGUAGGGAAUCUUCCACAAUGGACGAAAGUCUGAUGGAGCAAUGCCGCGUGAGUGAAGAAGGGUUUCGGCUCGUAAAACUCUGUUGUUAAAGAAGAACACCUUUGAGAGUAACUGUUCAAGGGUUGACGGUAUUUAACCAGAAAGCCACGGCUAACUACGUGCCAGCAGCCGCGGUAAUACGUAGGUGGCAAGCGUUGUCCGGAUUUAUUGGGCGUAAAGCGAGCGCAGGCGGUUUUUUAAGUCUGAUGUGAAAGCCUUCGGCUUAACCGGAGAAGUGCAUCGGACACUGAGAGACUUGAGUGCAGAAGAGGACAGUGGAACUCCAUGUGUAGCGGUGGAAUGCGUAGAUAUAUGGAAGAACACCAGUGGCGAAAGCGGCUGUCUAGUCUGUAACUGACGCUGAGGCUCGAAAGCAUGGUAGCGAACAGGAUUAGAUACCCUGGUAGUCCAUGCCGUAACGAUGAGUGCUAGUGUUGGAGGGUUUCGCCCUCAGUGCUGCAGCUACGCAUAGCACUCGCUGGGAGUACGACGCAG